GGAGCAGUUGGUAGCUCAGUGGUAGAGUGCAUGCUUUGUUUGAACGACGUCCUGGGUUCAAUUCCCAGCUGCUCCC
rnacentral:tRNA from 1 species